rnacentral:rRNA from 1 species
AUGAAGAAGCAGAUGAGCAAGAUAUACACCAACAAGAUCUUUAACAAAUUCCAGGAAGAAAGAAAGCGUGCCAGCAUGUUCAUGACUUUCCAGGUGGACAAACAUACGUUCAAGGUAUGUUCUAUUUUGGGCAUGUCGGAUUCAGAACCUGAAGACCCGGACAAAGGAAGGAACUACUUCGUGAAAGCCUCGAUAAGACAAGGCGAAUACUACUGCCAAUGCUGCAAAUUCGAACGGGACAACAUUGUGUGCUGUCACAUACUAAAAGUAAUGGACAUGGACGCUGUGACACGGAUGCCCUGCCAUUUCAUAAGGCGGCGAUGGACUUGGGACGCUGAUGACGCAUUGGCGCCGCAAACAUCAAACACAGUUUUGGCUGUGCAUGACGAGAGACCAGAGUCAACCAUGGAAGCCGUGCGGCACGUUGUGUUGACAAAGAACUAUGCUGAACUAAUUGAUGAAGCGUGCAAGAGUGAUGACACUGCGAGGGUCGCAGAAAAACAUAGGAAGGCCCUGAAAAGAGAGCUUGAUGAGAUCAGGAAGAGGAAAGCUGAGAGAUCCUUACACAGGUUCCCCCGCACAUCAAGUGUGCCUUCGUCCACGGGGCCAUCAUCUAAAAACUCAGAGAUGUUCUAA